UACGAAGGGGGCAAGCGUUGUUCGGAAUUACUGGGCGUAAAGAGCGCGCAGGCGGUCGUUCAAGUCGAGUGUGAAAGCCCCCGGCUCAACUGGGGAGGGUCAUUCGAUACUGAUCGACUCGAAGGCAGGAGAGGGUAGUGGAAUUCCCGGUGUAGUGGUGAAAUGCGUAGAUAUCGGGAGGAACACCAGUGGCGAAGGCGACUACCUGGCCUGUUCUUGACGCUGAGGCGCGAAAGCUAGGGGAGCAAACGGG
rnacentral:rRNA from 1 species